GAUAAACGUUGGCGGCGUGCCUAAUGCAUGCAAGUCGCACGAGGGCUUCGGCCCUAGUGGCGGACGGGUGAGUGACACGUACGAAUCUGCCCGGAGGUGGGGGACAACUUCCCGAAAGGGAAGCUAAUACCGCAUACGGUCUACGGACCAAAGCCGAAAGGCGCCACCGGAGGAGCGUGCGGCGGAUUAGCUAGUUGGUGGGGUAACGGCCUACCAAGGCGACGAUCCGUAGCUGGUCUGAGAGGAUGGGCAGCCACACUGGGACUGAGAUACGGCCCAGACUCCUACGGGAGGCAGCAGCAAGAAAUUUUGCAAAAUCGACGCAAGUCGGAUGCAGCAACGCCGCGUGGGGGAUGAAGGCUCUCGGGUUGUAAACCCCUUCUGCGAGGGAAGAAGAUCUGACGGUACCUCGCGAAUAAGUCACGGCUAACUACGUGCCAGCCGCCGCGGUAA
rnacentral:rRNA from 1 species